rnacentral:rRNA from 1 species
UACGUAGGGGGCGAGCGUUGUCCGGAUUCAUUGGGCGUAAAGCGCGCGUAGGCGGCCCCGCAAGUCGGCCGUGAAAUCUCCAGGCUCAACUUGGAGGGGUCGGGCGAGACUGCGGGGCUCGAGGUGGGCAGAGGGCAGUGGAAUUCCGGGUGUAGUGGUGGAAUGCGUAGAGAUCCGGAGGAACACCAGUGGCGAAGGCGGCUGCCUGGGCCUGGCCUGACGCUGAGGCGCGAAAGCGUGGGGAGCGAUCCGG